AAUUGCCGAACCACGUAAAUCUUGUCUUGUCUUGUGCAAUUUAUUGUUUCUCUCCUAAAUAUUCUUUUCCUUCUAUUAUCUUGACACGCUUCCUCAACAUUAUUGACGUAAAAAAAAUUAUUCAAGAAACAUCAAACGGACUUCACGAACAUGUAUUGUGCACCUCUUGGGCCUUCUAGCUCUAUGAGUUGCAUAUAGAUUGACAUAUUCAUGAGGCUGCAAGGCAGUUCUUCUUGGUGAAUCAGUGCUUGCGAUUUUAGAAAGUCUAAUGACAACUUAAAUUUCAUCAUCUCGGCUAUUACUGAAUAUGAGAAAAUAAUGACUCAUUGCUCGUUGACAUGUACAAGACGACAUCAUUUGAGGAACAGCGACAG